UACGGGGGGAGCAAGCGUUGUUCGGAUUUACUGGGCGUAAAGGGCGCGUAGGCGGCGCAACAAGUCACUUGUGAAAUCUCCGGGCUUAACCCGGAGCGGUCAAGUGAUACUGUCGUGCUAGAGUGCGGAAGGGGCUACUGGAAUUCUCGGUGUAGCGGUGAAAUGCGUAGAUAUCGAGAGGAACACCUGCGGCGAAGGCGGGUAGCUGGGCCGACACUGACGCUGAUGCGCGAAAGCCAGGGGAGCGAAGCGGG
rnacentral:rRNA from 1 species